GCUCUGGGGCCUCUCUGGAUUGAGCCGGGGGAGCAGUAGGACGCAUGCGCCGGCUGUAGAGUUUCCGCCCCGAGAAGGCGAUGGGGAAGGCCGGCCGGAAGCGCGAGCGCACCUGGACUGCCGUUCAGGAGGGUGUGUAUUUUGCGCAUGCGCGCGAGCGUUUUCGCCGGCUGGGUCGGGUCGGGAGCGCCCGUAUCUUUAACGCGCCCUAGUCACCUGCUUGGAAUGAGAAAAGUGAAAGUCUCCCUCGACGACCCUCCUACCCCACAGAGGGCUGAAGAGCUAGCUGAUCAGGGGCCUUCACUCCUGCCCACUCUCCCCUUGGACCACAGAAUCUAACAUCUUUCCGCUGUGAUGGGGUUCAGCUUUUCUAUUUUCCUUCGUGCACGUGCACUUGAAACAGCGUUACUCUAUGUACAAUGAAAGCUACCCAGUGGCGGGGAUACCCUGGCUUUGCUCAGUUGUUUGUUCACCCUGGGAGAGCCAGGCUCUUGUCAUGCGCUCAUGUAUGUAUUUGGGGACAAGAGGAGCCGAAUCUGUGGCUUCUCCAGGCUACACCCUGUAGCUUCAAAGAUAAGAAGCCCCUUUCCCCUUGAACGAAUCUCUUCACCAGCUGUUGGUAGGCGAUUUUAAGGUUUCCCUGGCCAUUCUGGGGUGGAAGUCCUGGAGAGAGAGAGAGAGACUGUCCCUCAAGCUGAAUCUCACACUGCCUUCCCAACCCAUACCUGUGUGGUGGAAAGAAGAUUUGUGGUUUUGAGGGGCAGCCACAGGCCCAGUACCCUGGUCAACAGCAUCAGCCCAGCAGUUACAGCUCUUUGGGUCCCAGGACCCCUGAAACUAAACAUUACAGGGAACCUCCAAGUUUGUGAAUGCCUAUGAGUGUUUAUUGUAUUGGAACUAAACCAGAAACGCGUUUAAAACAAUGCACAAUACAUAUUCCAAGCAGGUAAAGAUGAUGUCAUCAUUUGUCCUGUCUUUUGCGGAAAACUCCAUCAUCUGCUUCUGAGACAAGGAAGGUGAGAUGCGACGCCUUCAUGAGAACAAUAUGACUUUGGAAAUUCCCCUAGCGAGGUUUCCAGGUGCCAGUGGACCCGUGGGCCACUCUGAAAACCGAUGUGCCAGAAAGCACAGGACCUCCAAUCUCACCUUUCUCCUGCCUCUGCCCUGAGCGGGUCACACCUUGAGAACUGUGGACCUGUGGCCCCAAGUCUGUGUGGAUGAUGGUUGGGUGGCUGCUAUUACUGCUAUCGAGACUCCUUUAUCAGCUGCUUUGAGGAGGAAGCUCAUGGGUGCCAAUGCACCUGCGUGGGCCCUGCAUUCCUGAAGCUGCCGUCACAUCCGCCCUCCCCUCCCCCCGGGUGUGGCAUCCCUCACUACCUGAACUUUCCUUUCUCGAAGGGAGGGAGGGCCAGGCCAGAGCUUCCUGGAUCUCUCCGGCAGAUCUGCUGCAAACCAGGGCUGUGUAAGAAGGGAAUGUAGAAAAUAGUUUGCCUUUGAUAAAGGUGCUGCGGGGGAGGGGAGCCUUGUUGUCAGCUUGGCUUAAGAAGCCUGAAGACCAGAGAAACAGUGUGGAUUA